GUGUUGUUUGAAAGGAGAGAAGGUUAGCACUCCCCUUGCCGAGGAUGGAAGAGGCCCUUGGGCCUAAUAACAUGCAUAUGGUUAAGUUUAAAAAAAAAAAAAAAAGGCAGACAUGGUGGCUUU